rnacentral:rRNA from 1 species
UACAGAGGUGGCAAGCGUUGUUCGGAAUUACUGGGCGUAAAGGGCGCGUAGGCGGUCGGGCAAGUCCUGUGUGAAAUCCCCGAGCUCAACUCGGGAACUGCGUCCGAUACUGGCAGGCUUGAAUCCGGGAGAGGGAUGCGGAAUUCCAGGUGUAGCGGUGAAAUGCGUAGAUAUCUGGAGGAACACCGGUGGCGAAGGCGGCAUCCUGGACCGGCAUUGACGCUGAGGCGCGAAAGCCAGGGGAGCAAAGCGGG